UACAGAGGGGGCAAGCGUUGUUCGGAAUUACUGGGCGUAAAGGGCGCGUAGGCGGCAUGGCAAGUCAGGAGUGAAAGGCCUGGGCUCAACCGAGGAACUGCUUUUGAUACUGCCAAGCUAGAGUGCGGAAGGGGCAACUGGAAUUCCCAGUGUAGCGGUGAAAUGCGUAGAUAUUGGGAAGAACACCUGAGGCGAAGGCGGGUUGCUGGGCCGACACUGACGCUGAGGCGCGAAAGCCAGGGGAGCAAACGGG
rnacentral:rRNA from 1 species